AGGGAUAAAGGGAAAGAAGAGAAAUGGCAGCAGAGUUUCAGAGAAUGCCUCUCAGUAGUCAUUCUCAUACUGCACUUCGGCUUCCUCUAGAGUCAGGAGACAGAUGAGGAGGUCCCGGAAAGGAGAGAGAAACACACCGUGCGUUCUGGUCACAGUAACCUGGUGGUCCAGCAGCACCAGGCUUUCCAGGACUUCCAGGGUGACCCGGAGUGCCCUGAGUUCCAGGCCUGCCUGGAAGACCCUGGCUUCCUGUCCGGCCCUCACCUGGAGGACCUGCAGCGAGGCAUUAACACACAUCAACACGGUGCCACAUGCAAUCCAGCAGAGCUCCAUGUUUGGAACUUGUCUUAUUUCAACAUAUUUAUGUACGUAGUUCUGUACUUUCAGCACAAGCUAAGCCUUCCCCAAAUGCCACUGGCCCUUUUAACCAUGUACUUUAAACUUCAUUCAUGAAUAGUACUGAUUUAAAAAAAUAUAUAUAAAAAAAAAAACAUCCAGAUGCAGGUCCUAUGGCUUUUUAUAAACACAUAGGAAUGUGAAUUCCUAUAGUCUACAUCAUUUGAGGCUGUAGAUUCCUAUCUAGGUUCUGAAGUAAAACAGGAGUGUUUUGAAUAGCAGUGUAUUGGACAUUUAAGGAGAUUAUGAACAAAUCUGAAGUACAGGGGUUAGUCAAAUGAAACCCUUAAAAGUGUGACAUAAAUUAGAGAAACAGUACAUUAAAUUUGUAGUUGCAAAACUGGUCCAUUGUUCUCAAUAGCCCCUUAUACUGUUACCUUAAGCUUGAUACACUUUUGUGACACGUAUUUGCAACAAACAAAUCUUAAGGUUUUCAUUUGACUCAACCUCAUAUUUAAAGUAACAUGCUCCAGUAAGAUGUAGGCAGUGUAGUGAUCACCAACCUCUGAAACAAACCUCUUAACAUAUACACACUCACUGGCCAUUUUAUUAGAAACACCAUACUAAUACUGAGUAGGCCCUCCUUUGCUAUUAGAACUGCCUUAAUUCUUCAUAAGGUGUUGGAAACGUUCCUUUGAGAUUCUGACAUAAAUUACAUAACUGCUGCAGGUAUGUCAGCUACACAUCCAUGCUGCGAAUCUACUGUUCUAACACAUCCCAAAAGCUGAAGUACACUGAACUCACUGUCAUGUUCAUGGAAUGCGUGGUAUGGUGCAUUAUCAUGCUGGACGUAGCCAUUAUAAGAUUGUGAUCAUACUCAAUUGGUAUUAAGGGGUCCAGUGUAUGCCAAGAAAACAUUCCCAACACCAUUACACCACAAUCAUCGUGAACUGUUGACAGAAUUCCAGUCAUGUUCAUGGAUUCAAGCUGUUGAUGCCAAAAUUUCACACUACCAUCAGGUUGUCACAGUAGAACCAGCUUAUCUGGCACCAACAACUGUGCCACAGUCAAAGUCAAAGAGAUCACAUUUUAUCCCCAUUCUGAUGCUUAAUGUGAACAUUAAACAACUGCAGCUCUUGACUUCUAUCUGCUGCCAGAUGAUUGCCUGAUUGGGUAAUUGCAUGAAUGAGCAGGUGUACAGGUGUUCCUUUUAAAGUAACCAUUGAGUAUAUACCUAAAUAUAGUCACAUCUAAAUAUAAGCUCUAACUAUGAUGUCUUCAACAAACAGAGAUGAAUAAAAGUGUCAUAUCUGGCGAAUAAGAGUGGUCAUUUGUUCACCUGGAGGUCCUGGGAGGCCACGUGGUCCCUGUGUCCCCACACCUGGACUGCCUUUCUCUCCUUUCUCUCCUGGGAGGCCUGAACAGACAAUAAAACAGACACUAAAGUGAGACCAAGCGACACCACCUGCCUCUCUGAAUUUACACACUGCUGUCCUCGUUCGCUACUGGCCAGGCAGAGGGAUUGAGAUAGCAGACCUAGUGUAGCGCACAUACACUGACAAAACAAGUCUGCACAUGAAAUGGCUAGAAUGUCUGUCUUGCUCUUUUAUUUACCUUCCACCACUGACCACUGGUGGUGGAGAGAGUGCGAGAGCCACAUGCUUUUCAUGGGUCGCUAAUCAUUUGGCAAAGAACAACAUAAAUAUGGAGCCCAGAAGGAAAGCUAGAGGUUCCAGAGAGAUUUCUGCUUCAACAUAUCCCGCUGCAUGGAAAAUAGCAAAAGACUGACUGCAUACAAAAAUAGUCUUGAGCAGUUAUUAUUAGUUCUUUGCUAUUCCAAAACCAAACACUGUGACAAGCAAAACGUCUCAGAAUUAUGAGUCUUUAUAGAAAGGCACACUCCAGUUUUUCCCAGGCUUCUUCACAGCAAUCUGGUCUUCAUCACCCCUGACCAAGGCUGACAAUUACCCCAACCCCGAGCACAUAAUUAGCAUUCUUAUAAUGAUAGGCUACACCACUAAACCCCUCAAACCAUCUCUCAUUAGCAAAUGUUGUUAGUGUUGUGCGACCAGUCUGAACUAAUUAUAUUAAACGUCUGCUUUGUGUCAUUCUGUCUGUGUAUAUAACACUGCAUCACAAUCAGUGUGUGAACUGAUGCUGGUCUUGUGAUUCUUACUUGCUCGUUAUCUCUCUGCGACUUUCUUGCGAUGGUUAUUUAUUCUGUUGAUUUAACUGUCAAUAAAAUUAACACUGAAACAUAA